CGGCGUCGUGGGCGAGGGGAUAAGAUCCCCUGACGCCUCGGGCUCCCCUCGUCCCCUUCCACUUGCCCUGGCGCUCCUCCUCAUCCACUCCCCCACUCCCUCUCCCUCUUACUCCUCUCCCCUCCAGAUCCGCCGCACCCGAGCGGGAGCUCGUCGCGCCACCAUCGUCAGCACGCUCCGGCACCACCCCGGGGCGCACCAGAGCGUCUAGGAGCUCCCUAUUCCUCGCCUAUGUCGACUACCUCGCCUCGUUCAAGCUCAGCGCCGCCGCAAUGCCCCGUUCAUGGUCUUCUUCAACCUCCGGACCUGAUGCCGUGCGCCGUCGACCCACCCCGAGCACGCUGCCAUCCCCCUACCGCCCCGCCGUGAGCAUCACAUCGAUUCCCAUCUCUCCCUUCUCUCAUUUAGUCAAAGUAGGCGACACCUGCGACCUCCCAAAGCCGCGCGCCCCUGUUGCUCGUGCGUACUGCUACUGCUUCUGCUGUCGACGCCGGCCGCAGCUCACCUUGCCAACGCGCGUGCCUCCGCUGGCCACCGGUCCCGUCGCUGCUCACGCCGUCCCUCACCCGCGCUGCCAUCCGCCACGGCCGGAGUCCCGCCCCCGCGAGCUCCUGGCGGCGCCGUCGUGCCCUGCCUCUGUCCGCUCCGCGUCGGACGCCGGGACGGCUGCCGCCGGGCUGCUCCCCGCUCCCGCUGGAACCGCCCCCCUCCACGCGUGCUGUUGCUGCACUACUACGCUCUCAGAUGGCCGCCGCUCGCCGUCAUCCGCGCCGGCCAGGCCCGCGCCCUGCUUCCUCCGUGCGCCGGUGCUGGUCUCGCUCGCUGGAACUAGCGCCCAGCCAUGGCCCAAGGCCACUGCCACCUGGGCCGGCCCCUUUUUAAUUAGGCUAAGCCCAAUUAGUGUUAACCAUCCCCACUAAUUAGUCACUGACAGCGGGCCCCGCAACCAGUUAGAUUAUUCUAAAACAAUCUGUUAAAAUACGUGACAAUGACAACUGGGCCCCGCUGGCACUGUUCAUUGGUGGACCAGUCAACCUUUGACUUGGUCAACCGGGCCCACUGGCCCAUGGUCAGCCUCAUCAGCCACUUGCUGGGUACACUUUCGGGUACCUCUAGCCUUUUCCCGUUUAAUCUUUUUUUGAAUUAUUAAUAUACCUGAAAAUCAUAAAAUGCAAUAAAACUUUGAAAAAUCAUAGAAAACAAACCGUAGCUCGGAUGAAAAUGUUUUCUACAUGAAAGUUGCUCAGAAAAAUAAGACGAAUCCGAAUACGCGGUCUGUUCAUCUGUCUCAUGCCCCUAGUAGGAUGAACAUGGAUCAUUCCCCCUCCGGUCAUCUGUCUGACACAGGUCCUGAACCGGGAAUACAUUCCCGGUUGAAUUCCACCUUUACCUAUAUCGUGUAGCCAUACGUUAGGUCACACACGGCACAACUUAUUGCCACGUUAUGCUUUGUGAUGCUAUGUUUGCUUUAUAUUUACUGUUUCUUCCCCCUCUUCUCUUUGGUAGACCUCGAGACCGAUGCUGCCCCUGUGAUCGACUACGUCGACGAUGACCCCUCCUUGCCAGAGCAACCAGGCAAGCCCCCCUUUGAUCAUCCUGAUAUCGCCCAUUCCAUUCUAUCAUGCUUGCAUUAGAUUUUGCUAUUGUUAUUGUUUGCUCCUAUUCUGAUGCAUAGCCUGCUUAUUGUUACCUUACCUGCUUUCCUAAACUGCUUAGUAUAGGUUGGUUAGUGAUCCAUCAGUGACCCCCCACCUUGUCCUUGUUGCCCAUGCUUCAUCAUUGAAGACCCGAUCAACGAGAUUGAAGACCAGGCCCCCGGCACCGCACAUCACUUUCCCCUUAGUUGCUCAACACUGCUGGGUUACUAUCGAGUGCCGAGGGUGAGACCUCUACAGCACUUCUGAUGUUAACCCUGUAGUGUAGCUAUUCGGUCGUGGUCAUCGAGGGUGAUUUCCUCUUUAACCACUUUCGAUACGACUCUGUUGUGCAACCCCUCAAGUGUGGACAUCGAGGGUGAUUCCUCUUACGUUCACCUUGAUGAUUACACCGAGUGGAAUUCACCAGGGGUGAUUCCUCGAGUUUUCCCCUUGAUGUUUAGACACACAGUUACUUUGAUUACUAUGACUUUACAUUGAUCCAUGUUACUAAAGACGGGUCGACCCUGAGGGGUACCCGCGCGAGCAUAAUUGCGAGUGAUGUGGAGGCGGGUUGACCUGGAGGGUACCCGAGAGUUGAAUACGAGGCGUGGCCGGGCAUUCUUAGCCCUUGCCGCAAGUCCUCGAGACGGGGCGACGGGGUCAUAUCUUUCGUGAGUCUCUGCUCGUGACCGCACUACCAACACACUAAUGGUUUGGAUAUUUGAUCUGAGGGGCCUCUGGCCUCAUAGCACUAACCAUCACGUGGGCAUAGUAUGGGCGUUCUGCCUCGUAUACAUCAGCCGAAGCUUAAUAGACGUCAGCGACUAAGCGGUGCACGCCGGGUUGGACUGGUAAGCUCCUUCCUUUUUUAAGGAGGUAGCUAGGUCUGCUCACCGGCCGCCCACACAACGUGCAGGAGUUCCCGGGGAGAUGGCCCAUGACCCCUGGGGGCAUAGGUUUAGUCCGGCGUGCUGACCUCUCUAUUAAGCCUAGGUCGGGUUGCGGCGUAUUAUUUUGCCGAGGCCGGGCAUGACCCAGGAAAGUGUGUCCGGCCGGAGUUAAGCGAGCAUGGUGGGUAAGUUGGUGCACCCCUGCAGGGAAGAAAACAUCUAUCGAUAGCAUGUCCUACGGUAACGGACACUUGGAGUUGUAUCCCGAUCGAUACAACUAGAACUGGAUACUUGUGAUGGGAAUUGGAUUGUGAUGAGGUGAUAACUGGAUAGUAUGGCUCUGGGAUUGCUUUCUCGCAGGGAGUCGAGAAAGGAUCUCUGGCCGAGGUUGAUAACACCACUACUACUUUACUUUAUGCUACUCUACUCCCUCCUGUUUGCUGCAAGAUGGUGGUUUCCAGAAGAUGCUAGUCUUUGAUAGAACUAGGCCUUCUCUCUAUUCCGGCAUUUCUGCAGCCCAGUCCACAUAUACAACCCCUCUUUGAUAAUGUUGCAUAUGUAGUAUAGAUCCUUGCUCGCGAGUACUUUGGAUGAGUACUCACGGUUGCUUUGCUCCCCCUUUUCCCCCUUUCUUCUUCUUUCCGGUUGAUGCAACCAGAUGUCGCAGCCUAGGAUCCAGAUGCCACCUUUGACGAUGACUUCUACUACCAGAGGGUGCCUACUACUACGUGAAGACCGCCGACGACCAGGAGUAGUUAGGAGGCUCCCAGGCAGGAGGCCUUGCCUUUUCGAUCGUAGAUGCUUUUGUGCUGGCCUUUUUAAGGCAGACUUGUCUAACUUAUGUUUGUACUCAGAUAUUGUUGCUUCCGUUAACUCUUGUGUAUUCGAGCUUAUGUAUUCGAGCGCUCGAGGCCCCUGGCUUGUAAUAUAAAGCUUGUAUUAAUUUGUGUCUAGAGUUGUGUUGUGAUAUCUUCCCGUGAGUCCUUGAUCUUGAUCGUACACAUUUGCGUGUAUGAUUAUUGUACGAUUGAAUUGAGGGCGUCACAUUUUUCUACAUGAAAGUUGCUCAUAUCGACGAGACGAAUCUGAAUACACAGCCCGUUCGUCCGCCACACAUCCCUAGCAUAGCAAACUCGCAACUUUUCCCCUCCGGUUCAUCUGCC
rnacentral:lncRNA from 1 species